GGACAGGUGGUGCAUGGUUGUCGUCAGCUCGUGUCGUGAGAUGUUGGGUUAAGUCCCGCAACGAGCGCAACCCUCGACCUUAGUUGCCAGCAUUCAGUUGGGCACUCUAAGGUGGACUGCCGGCUAAAAGUCGGAGGAAGGUGGGGAUGACGUCAAAUCAUCAUGCCCCUUAUGACCUGGGCUACACACGUGCUACAAUGGGCGGUACAAAGGGUCGCGAACCCGCGAGGGGGAGCCAAUCCCAAAAAGCCGCUCUCAGUUCGGAUUGCAGGCUGCAACUCGCCUGCAUGAAGCCGGAAUCGCUAGUAAUCGCGGAUCAGCACGCCGCGGUGAAUACGUUCCCGGGCCUU
rnacentral:rRNA from 1 species